UGUAAGGCUGAAACAGCAACUCUUUGAUGCUCAAGUUGAUGAAAGGAUGAUGGAUCGUGGCUCAAAGAUGCUUGAUGUAGCUCAAAAAUGCAACUACCAUUGAUGGAGCUUGAUGUAACAGUCCACGAUUCUGCUCAACAGUGGCGAUUUCUUGCUGCAAUUCAACUCCAAUAGGCUUGUGUAUGUUGGAACAACAAAGAUCAAUGCCAGUUCUAUGAAGAUUU
rnacentral:lncRNA from 1 species